rnacentral:rRNA from 1 species
AUACGUAGGUGGCAAGCGUUGUCCGUAAUUAUUGGGCGUAACGCGCAUGUAGGCGGUGGGAUCAGUCUGUCGUGAAACUGCGGGGCUCAGCCACGGAUGGCGAUGGAAACUGUCUUACUUGAGUGCAGGAGAGGGCAGGGGAACUCCCAGUGUAGCGGUGAAAUGCGGAGAUAUUGGGAAGAAAAACGGUGGCGAAGGCGCCUUUCUGGACUGUGUCUGACGCUGAGAUACGAAAGCCAGGGUAGCGAACGGGAUUAGAUACCCCGGUAGUCCUGGCCGUAAACGAUGGUUACUAGGUGUGGGAGGUAUCGACCCCUUCCGUGCCGGAGUUAACGCAAUAAGUACCCCGCCUGGGGAGUACGGCCGCAAGGCUUAAACUUAAAGGAAUUGACGGGG